rnacentral:lncRNA from 1 species
AAAACUUGUAUCACGUAGAGUAACCAUAGUAACCACGGUCCACGGAUGACAGGUUUUGUAAUCAGUUCGUCUGUCAACCAAAAAGUCGCCAGUAAGGUUUCAUGUAUGUAUACUUUUUUACUUUGCCAUUGUUUGUAGCUUCUUAUGCCCAUUUAAAGAAUUGACAAGGAUGUCAGUCUGUGUGCCAGAAAGGUUUUUAAUAAUCUCAAGGUCUCUGAAGAAUCAUGGCAUGGCUUAUUUUUAAAAAAGGUGCUACAGAAUCAGAUAUCAAUAGCAACAGUAAUUUAAAAGCCAAGUUAGUGGAUAUAGCUGAACAAUAAAUUAGACAAAGACUGAAAAAUAAAUUGUAUGAAAAAUGGGGAAACCACCAAAUUGUGAACUGAUAUCUAAAAUGUUGGUGCAGUCUGCAGCUAUGGAGGAAAGAGAAAUCAAAGUGUGUCAGUGGCUAGCCUCCUUAACAGAGAAAGUAAUUCAUAUGGAUACACAGUAUUCAAAACAGCUGGAAGCAUUAAAGACAGAAAUGAAGUUCAAGGUUAUUUUCUUUUCAUCAUAGUUCACUGUUUUGCUUUGUCAUUUAGCGUUUGGGUACAUUUAGGUUUAAGUGUACAUAGUUUAUACAUUCACUUAGAAUCCUAUUUUUAAAUAGAAAUUUCCAAGGUAAAUGAAUGAAUUAUGAUUCACUUUGUAGACUGUUUGAGUGCCAUGUUAAGAGCUGCCAUUUUACUAAGCUUAAUUACAUGUUAGAGUGUUAGGUAUCACAAAAUAGCAAGGAUAAACAUUGGAAUCAAACUUAACAAUGGAGACUCAACUACUAAUCUAACUAUAUUCAAUUAAACAACCCUAAACUUAAAUUCAUAGAUACACAGGUUUGCUAUUUGUUGUUUCAUAGUGCUUGUAUUAAUCUUCUUUUCACAGACUACAAAUACAAUCAGCUGCCAUCAACCACAACAGUGCCACAAUUGGUUGUCAUAAGACAAUAAAGGCAAGACCUGCAGAAUAAGGAAUCAGAAGAUCAGAAUGCUGUCCUGUCAGCUGUUCCAUUUCCCGUGGCUUCGGACUGAGGAUGGAUGUUUAAACGAACGUCUCUCUUCUUGAAAUUUCACUACCGAUUCCGUGUGUUUUGAGCUGCGUCUUGUGAAUUCAAUCAAUGCAGAGUUCUUCAAGCAGGAGCAUGACUUGGCUUUGCUAGCACGUUUUUCAUCUCCAUUAGUCUAAAAUGCACCUAUUUUGUACCAUAAAGUGAUACGUGAAAAAAGUUGUUCUUUAUAAUCUAUUUACCUAUCUAAAUCUCAGAUUCUUGGAGGUGUCUUUAGAAUUUAUUGUUAAUAGCUUAAGUUUUUGUAAUUGUGAUUUCAGGUCUUUGGGAUGUACCUGGUGUACUGUGGUGGCCGCAGAAUCAUUCAGUGACUUAGUUUAAUCCAGGACUUGGUUUUUUUAAAAAGUGGUUUACAGUUUUAAUUUGCAGAGAACCUGAAGGUACCUUAUCCUUAUGUGUUGCAUCGGCGUUGGAAUUACUCGGUGAUAGAAGGGAAGGCCACCAAUGUUAUGUUGUCAGUGUAAAUAAAACAUAUCCAGUAUCA